GCACAUCCGUUAGUGCGUUCUUGUUGUGAAGUUACGCUUGACAAAUGUGUAUCUCUUCACAGGCAUCUGCUCAACAUUUACUGGAUAGGCCUACAGCAGUCCACACAAAGAAAUAGAAUUGUCUUCAAUAUUACGAGUGUCAUAUUUAGGGUGACAGGAGUCCACGGAAGACGUGUGUACAUAAUGCAGACAAUAAUGCUUGCAGCCAAUGUGUGGGACAGGCCAGUAGAGCUAAAACACACUGCGGCUCGACUGCCUCUCUCACACCUUUACACCACGGGGCGCGAUGACAGGCUUUUCCUUGUCCUCGUUCAAGCACUGUGGGCCCAAGAAGAGGAAGUGAAGCUCAGAAUGGUGGUGGCAAUGCAGGACAAAGCAGUUCCACUGGCUUAAGGGACGACCCACACCUCAGAAGUCAGGGUAUUGGUGUCCUUCUGAAAACAUAAGCCCACCAUACAGUUUACAGGAGAGACAGAACAGCCGUCACCUAGACAACCUGUGGAUAUUGAAUAACUUCAUGUACAACUAUAACUUAAAAUAAAG